rnacentral:misc_RNA from 1 species
AUUUGAUGGCUUGAGGAAUCCAGAAAUAGUAUCUAACAACUCCUUAGUUGCAUUCAAAACAGCUCUUUGGUUUUGGAUGACUGAGCAGAAGCCCAAGCCCUCAUGCCACAAUGUCAUGGUAGGAAAAUAUACCCCUACAGAAGCUGACGCCAAAGCCAAUCGGACAGCCGGAUUUGGGUUGGUGACCAACAUUAUCAAUGGUGGUCUUGAGUGUGGAAUUCCUGAUGACAGCCGAGUUCAUGAUCGUAUUGGAUAUUUUCAGAGAUAUGCUAG